rnacentral:misc_RNA from 1 species
AACGCAUAUUGCGCCCUCUGGCACUCCAGAGGGCAUGUCCGACCGAGCGCCACUGCCCGCGCUCGGGAAAGGGGAUUCCUCUCCAGGAAGCCCCGUUCCCGGUGUUGGGGCCCCGCGCAGAACGCCCUCGCGGGCGGCGCGGCCCCGAAAUGCAGUGGCGGCCGUCCUCGUGGUCCUCUAGGCGCAGUAGCAUUGCCACCUGCCGUCUUGCGAGGCCCGGGGAGGGCCCGCCUCGAAACCCCCUGAAUCCAGCACUGGUUGGCCUCGGGUCGGACAAGAUUACCCGCUGAACUUAA